CAGCUUCAGCAGCACAUAUACUAAAAUUGGAACGAUACAGAGAAGAUUAGCAUGGCCCCUGCACAAGGAUGACAUGGAAAUUCGUUCUAACAGCAAAU
rnacentral:snRNA from 1 species